UACUGUUCAACCUUAAAUACAAAAUAUCCAUCCACCCCACUGUCACCUUCCAGUCCUUUGAAGCUCUCAUAGCACGUAUUCAUGGUCACACACCAACCUUCUUGGCCACUAUCUACCGCCCACCAAAACCUAACCCGACCUUCCUGGACGAACUGUCUGACCUCUUAGCUGACCUCAUCUCUCUGUCAGCCAACAUAAUUCUUCUUGGUGAUUUUAACAUCCACUUCGACAAUCCCAACAACACCACAACAAAAGACUUCAUUUCCUGUCUGGACAGCUUUGGGCUCCAACAAUACAUCACCUCCCCAACACAUUCUCUAGGCCACACCCUCGACUUAGUCUGCUGCUCUGGCGUCACAGCUCAGUCAUGUUCUACCCUCGACACCUCCUUCUCCGACCACAAACUAGUCUGCUUUAACUCCAAACUACCUAUCUUCAAAUCCCACCUCUCCCGCACCAUCACCUUCCGUAACUUAAAGAACAUCGACCUCCCCUCCUUCACUGCUGCUCUCAACAAACUUUCAUGUACUAAUUAUUCACCGUCCCUCUCCAACAUGUUAUCCAAUUUCAACCGUGAGCUACGAAAUCUACUCGACACCUUCGCCCCACUCAAAACUAGAUCUGUAUCCUUUACGCACUCUGCUCCAUGGUACACCCCCGAACUCCGCCUCCUCAAAACCCAAGCCCGUCGCCUUGAACGUCUCUGAAAAAACAGGUUCAUCCACCCACAAGGACUUAUACCUAAACCACAUACUGAAGUACAAGCAAACCAUUACUCAAACAAAAUCUGACUUCUAUGCCUCUCUUAUUGUAUCCGCCUCUGGCUCCACGCGUUCCCUCUUCUCCACUGUCAAAAAUUUAUUGGGCCCUCCCGAUACUCCUCUCUUCCCCUCACUCUCCACCACCUUGUGCAAUAACUUCCUGGAUUUCUUCUCAUCAAAAAUCGAAAAUAUACACCAGCAAUUUCCCCCCAUCUGUGACACUGCGAACUGCCUCCACUGUACCUUACCCUGUCUAUCAGUAUCCUCCCUGCUUUC
rnacentral:lncRNA from 1 species